rnacentral:rRNA from 1 species
UGGGGAAUUUUGGACAAUGGGCGAAAGCCUGAUCCAGCAAUGCCGCGUGUGUGAAGAAGGCCUUCGGGUUGUAAAGCACUUUUGUCCGGAAAGAAAUCCUUGGCUCUAAUACAGUCGGGGGAUGACGGUACCGGAAGAAUAAGCACCGGCUAACUACGUGCCAGCAGCCGCGGUAAUACGUAGGGUGCAAGCGUUAAUCGGAAUUACUGGGCGUAAAGCGUGCGCAGGCGGUUUGCUAAGACCGAUGUGAAAUCCCCGGGCUCAACCUGGGAACUGCAUUGGUGACUGGCAGGCUAGAGUAUGGCAGAGGGGGGUAGAAUUCCACGUGUAGCAGUGAAAUGCGUAGAGAUGUGGAGGAAUACCGAUGGCGAAGGCAGCCCCCUGGGCCAAAUACUGACGCUCAUGCACGAAAGCGUGGGGAGCAAACAGGAUUAGAUACCCUGGUAGUCCACGCCCUAAACGAUGUCAACUAGUUGUUGGGGAUUCAUUUCCUUAGUAACGUAGCUAACGCGUGAAGUUGACCGCCUGGGGAGUACGGUCGCAAGAUUAAAACUUAAAAGAAUUGACGGGGUCAUAGCUGUUUCCU